AACCUCUCCGGUAGCUUACUGGUUACAGCGUCCGCCUCAGAUAUGGGAGGUCGCGGGUUCGAAACCCCGGCCAAGUCA